GGCCUCAUACAUGCAAGUCGAGCGGUCCUUCGGGACAGCGGCGAACGGGUUAGUAACGCGUGGGAACGUGCCCUUUAGUACGGAAUAGCCAUUGGAAACGAUGAUUAAUACCGUAUACGCCCCAAGGGGGAAAGAUUUAUCGCUAAAGGAUCGGCCCGCGUUAGAUUAGGUAGUUGGUAGGGUAACGGCCUACCAAGCCGACGUUCUAUAGCUGGUUUGAGAGGAUGAUCAGCAACACUGGGACUGAGACACGGCCCAGACUUCUACGGAAGGCAGCAGUAGGGAAUCUUGGACAAUGGGCGAAAGCCUGAUCCAGCCAUGCCGCGUGAGUGAUGAAGGCCCUAGGGUUGUAAAGCUCUUUCGCCAGGGAAGAUAAUGACGGUACCUGGUAAAGAAACCCCGGCUAACUCCGUGCCAGCAGCCGCGGUAAUACGGAGGGGGUUAGCGUUGUUCGGAAUUACUGGGCGUAAAGCGCACGUAGGCGGAUUAAUAAGUCAGGGGUGAAAUCCCGAGGCUCAACCUCGGAACUGCCUUUGAUACUGUUAAUCUUGAGUUCGAGAGAGGUGAGUGGAGUUCCGAG
rnacentral:rRNA from 1 species